AAUUAAAUUCUUAAAUUAUUUUGGGUGGGAAUUACACUGAACCUGGUUUAUUAAUGAACUCUGCAUUUUUAUCAUGUUAUUAAGUUGUAAAUAUGUCUUUAUUACAGGUUGUGCAGUUCAGACAUGUAGUUACACUCAUCUACCUGCAUAUUGUUAUUAGAAUUAUAUCAUAAUUAAUAUUUGUAUCUAUUCCUACUGUACAAUUGAUCUUCUGUAGUCACGCUGUUUAUUACACUGUAAUCAGUGCUGUGUAAAAUAAAGUGUUUCUGUUACCAUUUACACCCUGUUCAGAUGUAGAAUCUGUCUCCCUCUAUAGAAAAUCAGACAUCAGAGCAGAAUCAGAUCCGGUCAGGAGCUGAAGACUCUCAGUCAGGACACACACCACUUCAGGCUGGAAAAUGUUUAUGCCGCUGUGGAUCAGACAGAUACGAGUGGAACAGGUGAAGCUGCAGCUGAGAGCAGAGAAGUCACUUACGCACAGGUCACGAAGAAAAAGAAGACAAACAGGAACAAUGGUGCUGAUGCUGAACCCUGGGUUACCGAUGUGACUUAUGCUGAGAUUGAACUAAAACCAAUGAUAAAAACAAAGAGAAUGAAAGAAAAUGCCAGUGUGUGUGAUGAUACUGUCUACUCAGAGCUGAAGCACAGCAUGGGGUGAGACAUGUAUCUGUGUACAGUGAUGAAGCUACAGUUAUCACACAGACAGCUGGAAAACUGGGAUUUGUGUUUGUCUUCUGUUUUUCCUAAAAUGCUCAGAAAGUAGAAUCUGCUCAUCUACUUCCUGAAUACAGGAACAUUGCUUAUUAUUUUUUUUCUUUUACUGCUUUUCUAUUUCUACUCAUUCUGUUCAACGUGCACAAAUACAAUUAAUUUAAUAUACAUGUGGCUCAUUUGCGCAUUAAUAAUAAUAAUAAUAAUAAUAAUAAUAAUACAGUUAA